GUAAAAUUACACAUGCAAAUAUCCGUACCCCAGUGAAUUUUGCCCUAAUUUCCGCAAAUUAGAAAAAAAGGAGCAGGUAUAAAGCACACUAAACGAAAUUAGUAGCUUAAAACACCAGGUCCAACCACGCCCCCACGGGAUACAGCAGUGAUAAAAAUUAGGCAAUGAACGAAAGUUUGACUAAGCAAUACUAAUUCAAGGGUUGGUAAAUUUCGUGCCAGCCACCGCGGUCAUACGAUUAACCCUAGUUAAUAUCAAAACGGCGUAAAGAGUGCUAAAAACUUUACCAAAUAAAACUAAGCCUAAUUGAAGCUGUAGAAAGCACUAAUUAGAACGAAAAAUACAUCACGAAAGUAGUUUUAUAUAACUGCAGCACUAAAGCUAUAUAGCACAAACUGGGAUUAGAUACCCCACUAUAAUUAGCCAUAAACAUAAGUAGAUAUAGUAACAAAUUUAUUCGCCUGAGAACUACAAGCAACCGCUAGAAACUCAAAGGACUUGGCGGUGCUUUACAUCCGUCUAGAGGAGCCUGUUCCGAAACCGAUAAACCCCGAUAUACCUUACCACUUCUUGUUAAUUCAGCCUGUAUACCGCCAUCUUCAGCAAACCCUAACAAGGAACAUUAGUAAGCAAAAGCUUUAUAAACUAAUAAAAAAGUUAGGUCAAGGUGUAGCCAAUGAAGUGGAGUGCAAUGGGCUACAUUUUCUACCAGUAGAACAUCACGAAUUUCUCUCUAAAAACAGAGAAUAAAGGAGGAUUUAGUAGUAAAUUAAGAGGAGAGCUUAAU
rnacentral:rRNA from 1 species